ACAUUCCCAAAUCUUGAGAUAACCAAGACUCAGUUUCUUAUCUGAAAGAAUAGUGUCCUGCAAGCCAAUCACAUGGGUAAUGUAAUAGGAAUUUUUUGUGUUAUCUUCCUGCUCAUUUGCAUCACAUUGAUUAUUUUAUUAUGAGGUAUUGUAUUUUAUCAUUUACUGUAUUAUAUUUUAUGAUUAUGAUAAACUCUAUAGAUUAGGAUAAUGAUUUUAGGGCCAUGAUG
rnacentral:lncRNA from 1 species